AUUUUUACUUUAAAAUUAUAGUUUUUGGAACAAUGCAGAGAUUAGCAUGGCUGCUGAGUAAGGAUUACACACAAAUUUGUGAAGCAUUCCAUAUUUCU
rnacentral:snRNA from 1 species